GUGGUAUGAGAUGGAGAUGCGUUUCAUUAGGUAGUUGGUGAGGUAACGGCUCACCAAGCCGUCGAUCAGUAGCCGUCCUGAGAGGGUGAUCGGCCACAUUGGGACUGAGACACGGUCCAAACUCCUACGGGAGGCAGCAGUGGGGAAUAUUGGUCAAUGGGCGCUAGCCUGAACCAGCCAAGUAGCGUGAAGGAUGAAGGCUCUAUGGGUUGUAAACUUCUUUUAUAUAAGAAUAAAGUGCAGUAUGUAUGCUGUUUUGUAUGUAUCAUAUGAAUAAGGAUCGGCUAACUCCGUGCCAGCAGCCGCGGUAAUACGGAGGAUCCGAGCGUUAUCCGGAUUUAUUGGGUUUAAAGGGAGCGUAGGUGGACUGGUAAGUCAGUUGUGAAAGUUUGCGGCUCAACCGUAAAAUUGCAGUUGAUACUGUCAGUCUUGAGUACAGUAGAGGUGGGCGGAAUUCGUGGUGUAGCGGUGAAAUGCUUAGAUAUCACGAAGAACUCCGAUUGCGAAGGCAGCUCACUGGACUGCAACUGACACUGAUGCUCGAAAGUGUGGGUAUCAAACAGG
rnacentral:rRNA from 1 species